CCACUCAUCAACUCUCUUAAGCUAUUUGCAAGUCUCUUCUGUCUAAAAUGGCUCCCAAAUCAAAGCUACCGUAGAGAAAAAAAUCUGUUCGACGGUUAGAGAAAGAUGUGCGUAGAAAAAGAAUGAUUGUCGAGCCCUCUUCUGCUCCAACUCCAGUUUCAGGUCCUGCUCCAGCUUCUUCACAGUCUUCACUCAGUCCAAGUAAGG
rnacentral:lncRNA from 1 species